UCACCUAGAACUUUCUGCAUAUAGACAACCCACAUUUUCUUAGAAAAGGUCACAUGAACUGCAUUAAACAUUGUUCUUCAGAAAGUAAAAGAGAGAUGAAUGAGAUUGCCAGCCAACUAGCUUUUCACUAAAAAAGCCCAAGCGUUUUACUUAGAAAAAUCAAGGAAUCAUUAAGCAUGUGAUACAAGGAUAUUUGUUGAAAAUGCAAACCUUAGACAACAAAUGAAUGACGUUAGCCUUAAAAAGUCUAGUUUAUAGAAACAGACAAUAAAUUUGGUUUAUAGAGCAGAAGUUGGACCCCUAUGAAGCAUUAAACUUCUUGUAGUGACUGGAUAAUAAAAGAACAACAAUUCCCACAAAAAUUUCUAGAAAAAUUCCCAUAAAAUUUUCUAAUCAAUUCCACUAUAGUUGGUGCACGGAUGCUACAUACUUUCAACUUGCAUACUAUAGAAUGAAAAGCAUCAAAUGCUAGAAUAUAGGCCAGAAUGAUUGAUGUUACAUCUAUUGGAUAGCUAGAAAGGAAAUAUCUAAUGUUGAAACCUAGGGUUAAAGACAUUAAUCGUAUAUCUGGGGUAUUUUGAACAAAUGAAAGUGUCAUUGGUAGCAAGGAAUUUCUUUUCUAUUUGGGCAUUUCUACCACUUAGUACUUACCUUGAAAUCUUCUUAUAAAUUAGGGAUUUAGAACUUAUCAAUAAUUGCCCAAUUUAUAGCUCCCAAUCCUAAUUGGACAAAUAAGAGUCUUUUACUCUUCUAUGUAACAUAAAUAUUCUCUCAGGCUUUUAAGUAACAAAAUCAUGAGAAUUUGAGCUGAUUGA
rnacentral:misc_RNA from 1 species